UUUCUUCAGUAAAGUUGUGAACUUAAACCAAACCUCUGCAUUGGCAAAAUAAGCACAUUUAUGCACCGUUUCUUCAUUGGUGGCUGGGCACCGCGGCUGCAUCCUCUUCUUCGUGGCAUGGCACAGUAAUUGCAGGUUCAUCAGUCAGGUGGUCAGCACCCAAACUAAAACCAUGAGUUAUGGUGGCCAGGAUGACGUCCAAGAAUUGCAUCCCAGCAGCACAGAUGGGGGAGCCAACAUGAAGAGGUGUCCAGAGAGGCUUCUUCCUCUUUGGCUUUGCAGCAGCACCAGGACCUCACCAUCAGUGAUGCUGUUCCCCUCAUCCAUCGGGCCUACCCUUACAUUCCUCCCCUGAUGCACUGAUCACUUGUACCAGUUGUUGGAGUUUU